CCCCCCACAAUGMCCUGUCUGYAGCAUCUAGGCUUCGAGCCUGGWGCACUUGCAGGCUAUGCWGCAACGAAAUUUGACUUGAGGGAAAAACUAAGGGAAUGUGUCCCACUUGUGGGUGUUAUAGUCCCUUAGAAAUACCUUGGGUUGGAUGAGGACGCAGCGAUGCUUUUUGGCGAGUUUUCCAGGAAGUUUUCUGAGUACUACGGUAUCAAGGUUGACUUUUUGGUUAUACUUCUAUUCGCUUAGUUGUUGGUUAUGACUCUAAUGACCCGUCUUGAACAGGACAGGAUC
rnacentral:rRNA from 1 species